rnacentral:rRNA from 1 species
AAAUUGAAGAGUUUGAUCAUGGCUCAGAUUGAACGCUGGCGGCAGGCCUAACACAUGCAAGUCGAACGGUAACAGGAAACAGCUUGCUGUUUCGCUGACGAGUGGCGGACGGGUGAGUAAUGUCUGGGAAACUGCCCGAUGGAGGGGGAUAACUACUGGAAACGGUAGCUAAUACCGCAUAACGUCGCAAGACCAAAGAGGGGGACCUUCGGGCCUCUUGCUAUCGGAUGUGCCCAGAUGGGAUUAGCUAGUAGGUGGGGUAACGGCUCACCUAGGCGACGAUCCCUAGCUGGUCUGAGAGGAUGACCAGCCACACUGGAACUGAGAC